CCUCACUCCCCCAAUAACCCAUUGUUUCUAUGACUCCCACCAUUCAAAUUCUCAUUCAUUUUUAUCUUUUUAAUUAUUGUUCUCUUUUAGAUUUUCAAUAACGUUUCUAAACCAAUAUAAUACAUAUUCAUAAAAUGAAAAUACCUUUUCCUAUCUCGCAGCAUCUUUCAUACUCAUCAUCUUAUUCGUUGUCCAUCUUCCCAACCACAAAUUCUUCUCUGCAUAAACACCUUUCAUUAGAUGCAACAACAUAUGCACUUGUCCCUCGAAUUAAUUUUCUCAUCAAAUCCUUUUGUUUUCUUCUU